GAUGAACGCUGGCGGCGUGCCUAAUACAUGCAAGUCGAGCGAACAGACGAGGAGCUUGCUCCUCUGACGUUAGCGGCGGACGGGUGAGUAACACGUGGAUAACCUACCUAUAAGACUGGGAUAACUUCGGGAAACCGGAGCUAAUACCGGAUAAUAUAUUGAACCGCAUGGUUCAAUAGUGAAAGACGGUUUUGCUGUCACUUAUAGAUGGAUCCGCGCCGCAUUAGCUAGUUGGUAAGGUAACGGCUUACCAAGGCAACGAUGCGUAGCCGACCUGAGAGGGUGAUCGGCCAAACCGGAACUGAGACACGGUCCAGACUCCUACGGGAGGCAGCAGUAGGGAAUCUUCCGCAAUGGGCGAAAGCCUGACGGAGCAACGCCGCGUGAGUGAUGAAGGUCUUCGGAUCGUAAAACUCUGUUAUUAGGGAAGAACAAAUGUGUAAGUAACUAUGCACGUCUUGACGGUACCUAAUCAGAAAGCCACGGCUAACUACGUG
rnacentral:rRNA from 1 species